CGCCAUCUAUGUUUGCUCUUUUGAUUCGUUCUUGUAUUGCAAGUCUGGUGUUUUUUUUCUCGGUGGGACGAAUCUUGAGAAUUGGUCAGGAGUUGAGCGAAUGAGCGAACGAGCAUUUGAGGUUAUUGUGAAUCACGAUUUUGGUUUUUGGGUCUGUGUUUGUUUUGUGAAUACAGAUUGCUGCUUUGCCUUUUUUUGGUGAGUAGCCUGGAUCUGCGAUUUUCUCUCUGUGAGGUUCAUCUGUGCCUGUGGGCUGUAGAACUGGGUCUAAAUAAUUUCAACUUUGUGAUCAGCUUUUUCAUCAUAUGAAUUUUAGGGGUUAUCGCUCUUUAUCUGCUUGUGCUUUUGUGUUGAAAUUGUGGUGAUUGUCAAUUUAUCUGAUUUUUUGAGCUGCACGAAGGCAUGGAUUUAAUAUUUGGAGGAUUAAGCAUUUGGAUACUCAGCAAUUUGUUUUUACUGCGUUGUUAAUAUUCAUUUUUGUGGACAUGAUAGAUGCGUUGACUUGUCAUGCGCUGACUCUUAUGUGUCUCUCCCCUUUCCAGGGGAUGCUCAUGCACCUUAGAACAUAGAAAUGAGUCAUGAUCCGGUCAUGGCUUCGAUUUUGUUUGUUGCUCUAUCUUUGUGCCCUUUCUCUCUAUGAUACUGGUCUGCUCCUAUUUCAUGCAUGAUUUGAUCAACCGAGACUAAUGUGGAUCUUAUUCAGUUUAGACCUUAAAGUUGAUGCAUGAAAUUAAGUCUUCUCUCACAAUGAGCAGUUACACUGAUCUGAUUAUAACACAUAGUUCUAGGUGGCAAAACUACUUCAUCAUGUGUCUGGUCAUAUAUAUAUGUAUGUAUAACUGAGGAGAUGUUAUGAAAUUGGAGUCUCAGUCGAUUGCCUAAAGAAGCUUCGUCAAAUUUCUUAACUUGUAUGAAGUAAUUGAUGUAUCUUAUGCUUGCUGUAUUACCUCAGAGGUUAAAUUUCUUAGCGCGCUAUGUAUUUGGUGUUUCCUUGGGUUUUUCGCUUUACUGCCCAAUUAAGUGGCUCCUUGGCUCCUUUUCCUUUCAGUUGACUUGAAUUUGGUUUAGCACCAGAACCUGUAGUAUGAUCAUAUCAUCAGUAGAUUUGCACUUCUUAUUUUUUCUUUUGAGUGGAUUGGUGGUCAACUUCUUCAAGUGAGGAUAUCACUUUAAAGCUAACAUUUGUCUUGCUUGGUGUUGGCUUCCUAAGUGAAACUUGUAGUUGUCAUGUUCUAUUCCUUCCACCAACUUUUGUCUUUCCACUGUAUAUAUGUUUUGAUAUAUCUGUAUCAUCAAUUGAAUCUCUGUAGUUAUAGCGCUUCAUUUUUGGAGUAUCAUCUUUUGGUCUUCUAACAAAUUAAUUUCAUUAUAGUGGACCAUGUGCUUUGUACUUGCUCCGUAAAAGAGCCCUUUACAAUGACAUGUCAAGGUAAUGCUUUGGUGUGGUGAUAUAAGAUAGUCAAUAUACCCCAUAGGAUCAACUAAGUGGUUAAGGGCAUACUUAUAUGUGUGAAUUUGGCAUGCCGUACAAGUUUGAUUCCCUCACCACUGAGUACAAACAUUUUCAGGGGUUUGCCUACCUAAGAUCCUAAGGUGGGUGCCUCAAUCCUAGUUAUAAAAAAAUAUAAGAGUGAUUACCUAGGAGGAGUGGGAAGAAGCUAGCACAAACUUUGACAGAUCAGAAUAUGCGCUUGAGAAUCCAUGUUGUUUCAGAAUGCUUAAAUAUCAUGAAAGUGGUCGAGAUGUGAUGAUUGGUUCGUUGAUGGGGCAUUGGAAUACGAUCAAUUCUUCUUUUUGCCUUUUCUUUACAGCAAAUGAUCAAUGGAGUUAGAGUGGAUACCUGUGAUGUGAUGAAAUACUCUCUUUCUUUUCCUUUUCUAGUGAUGUUAUGAGGUACAAAUUAUUUGCUACAACGGUGGUGUGCUUAUCCUGA